rnacentral:rRNA from 1 species
UACGUAGGUGGCAAGCGUUGUCCGGAAUUACUGGGCGUAAAGGGCGCGUAGGCGGCCCGCUAAGUCGAACGUGAAAUCCCCGAGCUCAACUCGGGAACUGCGUCCGAUACUGGUGGGCUUGAAUCCGGGAGAGGGAUGUGGAAUUCCAGGUGUAGCGGUGAAAUGCGUAGAUAUCUGGAGGAACACCGGUGGCGAAGGCGGCAUCCUGGACCGGUAUUGACGCUGAGGCGCGAAAGCUAGGGGAGCGAACGGG